rnacentral:rRNA from 1 species
GUCUUUUUGAUAAUAAUUUAAAGUCUAACCUGCCCUAUGAUAAUUAUUAAAUGGCCGCGAUAUUUUGAUCGUGCAAAGGUAGCAUAAUCAUUAGUUUCUUAAUUAGGAACUGGAAUGAAAGGUUGAACGAGAAAAAAACUGUCUCAAUUUAAUUUAAUUAGAAAUUUAUUUUUAAGUAAAAAAGCUUAAAUAUAUUUAAAAGACGAGAAGACCCUAUAGAGUUUUAUAUUUUAUAUUUUAUAAAAAAAAUAUAGUAUUAGUUUUUUUAUUUUUUGUAAAGUAUUUAGUUGGGGUGACUAAAAAAUUUAUAUAACUUUUUUUCAAUUUUUACAUUGAUAUAUGAAAAAUUGAUCCAUAUUUUAUGAUUAAAAGAUUAAAUUACCUUAGGGAUAACAGCGUAAUUUUUUU